CACAAAGUUGGUACAGAUUUUUGAAUUUGCUGAGUUGGAAUAGAAAAUUCGUUUUUUAUUCUCUUGUCAAUUGUUUGCCCUUUUCAGCCGUUUUAAAUGUAUUAAAGCAAAUCGAUUUUCCUUUUAACAAUUUACUUUGACCCUUUUGAUAAACCAGAUUUCAUUUUCCCCAAAAACUUUCCCCCUAAAUCACAAAGCAAGAAGAAACCCGCUCGUUUCUUCAUCGCCGACAUAUGGACAACUGACCGGCACCAUUGGACGUAGUAUGAAGAUGGCAGCCCACCGACACCCAACGUCGAAAUAGCAUUUGAAGACGGCAGUUGAAUCCUAGAUGCUGGGCAAAGUUUGUAACAUGCAAGAGAAGACCAUUAAGGUGGCCAAUAGGAAAAGGCCAAUUAGCUACUUUUGAUUGAUAUUUUUUGUUUCGUUAGCAAUUGUUGAGUAGAAUGAGAGGAAACGAAGAGGUGAAGCAUGAGCGCAACGAGGAAUACGAAGACUUGCUAAGAGUAUUCGACAGCCUAGCUCGAAUUACCGAGAAACGAGAUGUCAUCAUAACAUUGCACGUUACAUUUUGCAAAGCAAAAGGAAUUGUAGAAAGUGAUGGGAAGGGAAGGGACCGACAUGAACGGGUGAUGUCAAUUUGUAGUUGUUGUAUGCUUUAUUUGUACCGUAUGAACUUCUUGGUCAUAGUAGUCUUUGAUGUCCAACGCUUAAUUUUGUUGACGUUGUUCGAGCUUUGGACAGAAGUUUAAUAUUUUGCGAAUUGUUGUAAUGCUUAGUAGGCUUCUUCAAGUUUAAUAUUUUGAGAAUUGUUGUAA